CGUAUAGGUAGUAUUGAUUUAUUUUUAAAAAAAAAUAUGUAUAUUUUUACAUUUUAAUAAUUUUGGAUAAUUAGGUAAUGAUGACAGUAUCUCGUUUUCUAUUUCUGACAUACCUAUUUGGUUCCCUGUGUAAUAUAUUGAUACUCUCUCACCUUGAAUUUUCAGAAUAUUCACACACGAGUUACCACUGAUACCGAUAAUUCUUUUUUUUGUUUUAUGAAACACGCAUACGCAGUAUAGUGAUUUAGACAAUAAUCAGUUCUACUAGUAAUUCAUGAUCACGAAAUCAGAAAUUAAACGCUAGGCGUUAAUUAUCGUCAGUUUCUGAUCGACGCGCAGUAAAGUGAUUAGAAUUCCGAAAAAAGAUUUGAGUUCAGCGCGAAGUGUAAACGAGAUU